CUUUGUCUCAUGAAAUAGACUGAUCACAUCAUGUCCUUUCUUCAGAGUCCCAGGGUUGGAACUAACUGAAGAUUAGCAGCUCCUUCUCAACCAGCUUGGCCUGGAGGGCUGAGCAACAGGUGAACAUUACCGCAUCAUCAGAGGAACAGAAUUAGAACAAGAACCCUGAAUCUAAUUUCAUUUGUUCAGCUUUUUUUUCCUGAUCACUGCUAUAACAGCUUGUAACUAACCACCCCAAACAAUAACAAUAUCCAUAACCCAUUGAAUGACCAAAAACACCCAUCCUACCUCUUGGAAAUGUGGGCUUCAUAUUCUUAACAUUACUUCUUGUGGUGGAUCUUCUGACAUGAUACAGAGAUUUUGGAUUUUCUUUUGGCAAGCAUGCUUGAGG
rnacentral:lncRNA from 1 species